rnacentral:rRNA from 1 species
GACGAACGCUGGCGGCGUGCUUAACACAUGCAAGUCGAACGGAAAGGCCCUGCUUUUGUGGGGUGCUAGAGUGGCGAACGGGUGCGUAAUACGUGAGUAACCUGCCUUUGACUUUGGGAUAACUUCAGGUAACUUGGGCUAAUACCGGAUCGGAGCUCCUGCUGCAUGGUGGGGGUCGGUAAGUUUCGGCGGUUGGGUAUGGAUUUGCGGCUUCUCCGCUUGUUGGUGGGGUAGUGGCUUACCAAGGCUUUGACGGGUAGCCGGCCUGAGAGGGUGACCUGCCACAUUGGGACUGUAAUACGACCCAUACUCCUGCGGGAGGCAGCAGUGUGGAAUAUUGCGCAAUGGGCGGAAGCCUGAUGCAGCAACGCCGCGUACGGGAUGACGGCCUUCGUGUUGUAGACCGCUUUCGCCUGUGACGAAGCGGGAGUGACGGUGAGGGGUAAAGAAUCACCGGCUAACUACGUG